GCACCAGGCUAUUGGUCCUGAUUGGGGCGCGCACAGGUGACGUAAGGGGAGCCAUUUUGAACGGCCGUUUUAUUUCGUUAGUUCCUUCGAAGACUCUCUUCUUCACUUUUGGUCCGGUUUCUCAGGAGCUCUUCUAAAGGUCCAAAUACCGCAUUUCUGAAAAAACAGCUAAGUAAACGAGAAAAUGCCGCCUCUUGAAACGGAAAUAGCGGAAGGAACAGAUCGGAGACUAAGGAUGGAGUAUCAUAUGACAGAGAUUAAAGAGCUGUGCUCAGCGAUAAAGAGAAUAGUAUCAGACCAUGUGAAAAAUAGCAGGCAUUUGAGAGAGAGAACGGAAAUGUGCCAGCCUAAUGGGGCACAAAAUCGAGUUUCUGAAGUAAAUGCAAAACAAGAGGAAUCCUCACAGCAAGCGGAAGAAAUGGAAAAGAAAGUAGAAGAGAGACGUAGAGAGCGGUCCAGUAGAUAAAAAUCUGUGCCUAAUAAGAAUAUCUGAAACAGGCAAAACAAAUGAAGCUGAAACGAUAAAUAACUAAUAGAAGAAAAUUGUCCAGAGUUGAAGAGCAAACCAGAUCUGCAAGUAGAAAAGGCUCAAAGAUACUUUUUUUUGAAGUUCAGCGAAAAGAAAGCAACAGCUUGACAUUCCUGGUGAUGUUUUUAAAUUGGAAGAAUGUAAAAAAAUUAUACAAGUAUCCAGAGAAAGCAAGUUUAUUUAUAAAGGGGCAAAAGUUAGGCUGACUUCUCUCUGACAUCAGAUUUCUCUCCUGCAACUCUAAAUGCCAGAAGAUAGUGUAAUAAUGCUUUCAGUUUUAAGGGAAAAUAAUUUUGAACCAGUAUUUAUAUAUCUUGGCAAGUUAUUUCUGUAUGAAGGCAAUUGGAAGACAUUCACAGAUACGCAGGGGUUAAAGUAAAUCACCCAAUUAUCAUCCUUGAAAGCUUUACUGAGUAUCACAGCCAAAGAAUGAAUUAAAGUAACUAAAUAGUAGGGGAGUGAGUUAUGAAAAAAUUAGUGGUAAACUUUUAACUAGUUAAACAGUAUUAAGAUUGUUAUAGGUAGUUAUAAAACCAAAUGCAAAAUAGAUUUUUAAGUUGGGUCUGUGAUUUGUUUGAAAAGACAUGCUAAACGUUAAAUAGAGGAAUGAAUACUGGAUUUUUUUUGGCAUGUAGUGUAGAUAUGCAUGUUCUUAGCUAAACAUAAAUAAAAGGGCUUUGUCACUGGACAGGACACAUUCCAAAUGUUCAUCUGACAAAAUGGGAAACCAGUUGGUACAGUUGUAUUACCCCUCUUUUUAAUUGUAAAGGAGAAAAAAGUUACCAGUUCGUAAUAUACUAGUACUGUAAAAAGAACAUUUCCAAAUCACUGGUUGGGGAGACAGUGGAUUAAAACCUUAUUUUGUGUAUACAUCUUGCCUGAGGAAAAUCAAUAGGUACUGCUGGUGUAAUAGUUCAUUAUAAGUAAAUUUGACAUUGAGGUUUAAGAUGAAAAUAGAAUAUAUAUUCUAAUUGUUUGGAUUGUAGCUGAAGUGGUGAAAAAACAAUAAAAAUAGCAAGGAGGUAUUAAAACUAGCAUAGGAUAAAUUGACAGAGGUAUAGAUAAGUUACCACACUCAUAAACAGGUUAAAUAUUCCUAUUAAAAAUAAUUCAGAUUGGAUCAAAAAUUGCUCUGUAACCAUGGAUACUCUCAUUUGUAUUGCACAAGUAUACAAGUUUAAAGAUAAUGGAAACAAGUCAUAGAAGUAGGCAUAAACAUUUUUUUAUUAGAACUCAAGCUACAACGAAUUAUAAAACAGUACAGGAUGUUUAAGAGGUUUUAUGGUAAAUAACAUGGCAUUCAGAAUGUAAAACGUUUGAUAAUCUUGAUGUGAGUGGUAGUUAUACUGAUGUAUGCAUAUGUUUAAAAAGUUAUAACUUAAAAUUAGUCUGUUUUAUGUACUUAAAAUGAAUAGAGUAAUUCAAUUAAAAACACUGCAAAUACUAUUGGACUGAAAUACAGUCUUUAGUAAAUCAAGUAAAUAAAAAGUUGAAAUAAAGAUAACUAAAUAGUUAA